GGCCUCACACCAUCGGAUGUGCCCAGAUGGGAUUAGCUAGUAGGUGGGGUAAUGGCUCACCUAGGCGACGAUCCCUAGCUGGUCUGAGAGGAUGACCAGCCACACUGGAACUGAGACACGGUCCAGACUCCUACGGGAGGCAGCAGUGGGGAAUAUUGCACAAUGGGCGCAAGCCUGAUGCAGCCAUGCCGCGUGUAUGAAGAAGGCCUUCGGGUUGUAAAGUACUUUCAGCGGGGAGGAAGGCGAUAAGGUUAAUAACCUUGUCGAUUGACGUUACCCGCAGAAGAAGCACCGGCUAACUCCGUGCCAGCAGCCGCGGUAAUACGGAGGGUGCAAGCGUUAAUCGGAAUUACUGGGCGUAAAGCGCACGCAGGCGGUCUGUCAAGUCAGAUGUGAAAUCCCCGGGCUUAACCUGGGAACUGCAUUUGAAACUGGCAGGCUAGAGUCUUGUAGAGGGGGGUAGAAUUCCAGGUGUAGCGGUGAAAUGCGUAGAGAUCUGGAGGAAUACCGGUGGCGAAGGCGGCCCCCUGGACAAAGACUGACGCUCAGGUGCGAAAGCGUGGGAAGCAAACAGGAUUAGAUACCCUGGUAGUCCACGCCGUAAACGAUGUCGACUUGGAGGUUGUGCCCUUGAGGGCGUGGGCUUC
rnacentral:rRNA from 1 species